GCCAGUUCUCCCCUGUGUUGCUGUGCUACUCUUCUAAAUCUAAACCAGGACUUCAGGUCAUUGGGCAGGUUUCUUUGCGAAGGACCACAGGCUCAGGUACAUUCAACACUGCCAGGUUGGAUACAAGGAUAACAGGAUGUUUUGUGUGCCACAGGAGCCCCUCUGACAUUAAGUUACACAGGACAAACUCAUAAUUCUCAUCCGUAUCAUCUUGGAAAAUACUUUGCCUCCAUCCCUCCUCACCCCCUCUCUUGCCUCCUACCACCAGAACUAAGAGAUUCCUCUGGUGCAUGGCAAAGCCCAUGGCCUCUCCCUCCUGGAUGUGGUCCAGUGAGUCUGCAGAGUCUGUUUUGUCUGUGAGCUGGUGCACUCUGCUAGCA
rnacentral:lncRNA from 1 species